rnacentral:rRNA from 1 species
CCCGCUGAAUUUAAGCAUAUAAGUAAGCGGGGGAAAAGGAACUAAAUAGGAUUCCCUCAGUAAUGGCGAAUGAACAGGGAUGAGCUCAGGCUGGAAACCGAUACAUCUGUGUCGGGCUGUAGCCUGCAGGCAUAGCGCUAUCGGCGGCUCGAGCGCAAGCCUCUUGGAAUAGAGCGUGUGCCCGGGUGAGAAUCCUGCAUUUCGCUCGAUGUCCGCUGUCCACAGUGCUUGUCCUGAGAGUCACGCUCCUCGGAAUUGGGGCGUAAAUCAGGUGGUAAGUUUCAUCCAAAGCUAAAUAGAAGCUCGAGACCAAUAGCAAACAAGUACCAUGAGGGAAAGAUGAAAAGGACUUUGGAAAGAGAGUUAAAAGUGUUUGAAAUUGCUGAGAGCGAAGCGAACGGAGCCACAUGUCGUGCUGAGAUUGCUGUGGGUCUUUGUGAGCCUUGAGCAUGUAAGCGCAAGCUGACUGCUUAUGUGUGAGCAUUUGCCCGCAGUGUUUCUCAGCAUGCGAGUCAUUAGCCACAUUUGUUUGAGGAUGGCCUUCAGCUCACAUGGUACACUUGUUAGUGUUCCUCUGUGCGGUGUGGGACUCAGACAGGUGUGGCUUGUUGACCCAGUG